rnacentral:rRNA from 1 species
GGGCGGAGCAAGCGUUGUUCGGAUUUAUUGGGUGUAAAGGGUGCGCAGGCUGUCGACUAAGUCGAAGGUGAAAUUUCCACGGCUCAACCGGGAAACUGCCUCCGAAACUGGUCGACUUGAGUGUGGAAGGGGAGCGUGGAAUUCCUGGUGUAGCGGUGAAAUGCGUAGAUAUCAGGAGGAACACCUGUGGCGAAGGCGACGCUCUGGUCCACAACUGACGCUCAGGCACGAAAGCCAGGGGAGCGAACGGGGGAUUAGAUACCCCGGUAGUCCUGGCCGUAAACGAUGGGCACUAGGUGUGGGGGGUUAUCGACCCCCCCCCCCCGGUGCCGUAGCUAACGCAUUAAGUGCCCCACCUGGGGAGUACGACCGCAAGGUUG